rnacentral:rRNA from 1 species
GAUGAACGCUGACAGAAUGCUUAACACAUGCAAGUCAACUUGAAUUUGGGUUUUUAACUUAGGUUUGGGUGGCGGACGGGUGAGUAACGCGUAAAGAACUUGCCUCACAGCUAGGGACAACAUUUGGAAACGAAUGCUAAUACCUAAUAUUAUGAUAAUAGGGCAUCCUAUAAUUAUGAAAGCUAUAAGCGCUGUGAGAGAGCUUUGCGUCCCAUUAGCUAGUUGGAGAGGUAACGGCUCACCAAGGCGAUGAUGGGUAGCCGGCCUGAGAGGGUGAUCGGCCACAAGGGGACUGAGACACGGCCCUUACUCCUACGGGAGGCAGCAGUGGGGAAUAUUGGACAAUGGACCAAGAGUCUGAUCCAGAAAUUCUGUGUGCACGAUGAAGUUUUUCGGAAUGUAAAGUGCUUUCAGUUGGGAAGAAAGAAAUGACGGUACCAACAGAAGAAGAGACGGCUAAAUACGUG